rnacentral:misc_RNA from 1 species
CGAGCCUUCAACAUCAACACAGCUCGCAACUCGUCGAGCUUAGUCUCAUGGAUUCCGACCGGUAAGAUUCAGCAAACAGUAGCUAAUUCUGUACAACUCACCGGAAUCGGUCUUCAUUCCGGCAAGCUUUCUACUGUCACAAUCUUACCGGAGUUAGCAGGAGUCGGUAGGUACUUCAAAUUCCGUUCAAAUGUCAUUCCUG